rnacentral:rRNA from 1 species
GGGUCAGUAGGUUGGUCGUGCCACCGGUACGUACUGGUCUCACUGAUUCCUCCUUCCUGAAGAACCGUAAUGCCAUUAAUUUGGUGUUGCGGGGAAACAGGACUGCUACUUUGAAAAAAUCAGAGUGUUUAAAGCAAGCUAACGCUUGAAUACAUUAGCAUGGAAUAAUGAAAUAGGACGAUCGAUCCUAUUUUGUUGGUUUCUAGGAUUGACGUA